AUUGAACGCUGGCGGCAUGCUUUACACAUGCAAGUCGAACGGUAACAGGCCGCAAGGUGCUGACGAGUGGCGAACGGGUGAGUAAUGCAUCGGAACGUGCCCAGUCGUGGGGGAUAACUACUCGAAAGAGUAGCUAAUACCGCAUACGAUCUAUGGAUGAACGCGGGGGACCGUAAGGCCUCGCGCGAUUGGAGCGGCCGAUGUCAGAUUAGGUAGUUGGUGGGGUAAAGGAUCACCAAGGCAACGAUCUGUAGCUGGUCUGAGAGGACGAGCAGCCACACUGGGACUGAGACACGGCCCAGACUCCUACGGGAGGCAGCAGUGGGGAAUUUUGGACAAUGGGCGCAAGCCUGAUCCAGCAAUGCCGCGUGCAGGAAGAAGGCCUUCGGGUUGUAAACUGCUUUUGUACGGAACGAAACGGCUCUGGUUAAUACCCGGGGCUAAUGACGGUACCGUAAGAAUAAGCACCGGCUAACUACGUG
rnacentral:rRNA from 1 species